rnacentral:rRNA from 1 species
GUGGGGAAUCUUAGACAAUGGGGGAAACCCUGAUCUAGCCAUGUCGCGUGAUCGAUGAAGGCCUUAGGGUUGUAAAGAUCUUUCAGGUGGGAAGAUAAUGACUGUACCACCAGAAGAAGCCCCGGCUAACUCCGUGCCAGCAGCCGCGGUAAUACGGAGGGGGCUAGCGUUGUUCGGAAUUACUGGGCGUAAAGCGCACGUAGGCGGAUUGGAAAGUUGGGGGUGAAAUCCCGGGGCUCAACCCCGGAACUGCCUUCAAAACUCCCAGUCUUGAGUUCGAGAGAGGUGAGUGGAAUUCCGAGUGUAGAGGUGAAAUUCGUAGAUAUUCGGAGGAACACCAGUGGCGAAGGCGGCUCACUGGCUCGAUACUGACGCUGAGGUGCGAAAGCGUGGGGAGCAAACAGGAUUAGAUACCCCAGUAGUCC